rnacentral:rRNA from 1 species
UACAGAGGUGGCAAGCGUUGUUCGGAAUUACUGGGCGUAAAGGGCGCGUAGGCGGCCUUGUAAGUCCCGUGUGAAAUCCCUCGGCUCAACUGAGGAACUGCACGGGAAACUGCUUGGCUUGAGUUCGGGAGAGGGAAGCGGAAUUCCGGGUGUAGCGGUGAAAUGCGUAGAUAUCCGGAGGAACACCGGUGGCGAAGGCGGCUUCCUGGACCGACACUGACGCUGAGGCGCGAAAGCUAGGGGAGCAAACGGG